UGGGGGGAGUGACAAUACAUCACAGUGCGGGACUCGUAGUCUUGCAAUUGGAUAGAGAACAACGUACAACUCUUAUCGAUAAGCCACCGGAGGGCAAGUCUGGAGCCAGCAGCCGCGGUAAUUCCAGCUCCAAUAGCGUAUAUCAACGUUGUUGCAGUUAAAAAGCUCGUAGUUGAAGCGAGGGAGUGUGUGCGCAUGAGAGGUAGUAUCAAGUACUCACAACCUCCCCCCUCCAAUCGGUGUAGUGGGGUAUUCAGUUAUUCUACUACUCCUUUGGUCGUUUACUGUGAGAAAAUUAGAGUGUUCAAAGCGGGCGUUUGUUUGAAUAGAUUAGCAUGGAAUAAUGAUUGAAGGCUUUCGUGUUCGAUUUGAUUGGUUUGUUCAUGGAAGCAAGGUUAAAAGGAACAGUUGGGGGAUCCAGAUUCACUAGUUACAGGUGAA
rnacentral:rRNA from 1 species